rnacentral:rRNA from 1 species
AACGCACCUUGCGCUCCCUGGUAUUCCGGGGAGCAUGCCUGUUUGAGUGUCAUGAAAACAUCAACCUUGACUUGGGUGUAAUGCCCUUGACUAGGCUUGGACUUGGGUGCUUGCGAUCCCUGACGGGAUGGCUCACCUUAAAUUGAUUAGCUGGAUCCGUCUUGAGACCUGGUUUGACUUGGCGUAAUAAGUAUUUCGCUAAGGACAUCCUUCGGGUUGGCCAAUUCUCUUGACUACAUGUCCGCUUUCUAACCCAGUUGUCACUUGUGGCACAUGACUUUUAUUAUCUGGCCUCAAAUCAGGUAGGAUUACCCGCUGAACUUAA